UUAGAACCUGCAGAAACCAAAAU
rnacentral:sRNA from 1 species